AGUAAGUAGAAAGUGAACACACGCCACAGAAACUGCUGCUGAUAUGCUGAGUCAAAUCAUCUCCAAACACCUAGCGAUGGUCUCUCCGUCUGAACUUGAGCAGGCUAAUUAGAUGAGGAGCCGUAGACAAGCAGGCAAAAACAAACGUGAGAAAAUCAUCUGAGAGCGGUGAGAAGAGGGGGAGGGUGAAAACAAGAAGCCCGAGUAGUGGUCUGUGAAACAUCUGAGUUUGGUUCUCCUUGCAAAGCAGAAUUAACAAGUGGAAACAGCCGACACACAGAAGUGAAGCACACAUUCACAGCAGAGGUGUAGCUGUGUGAGCUCUAUAAAGGCCUGUUUGCCUCCCUGAAAGUAAAACCUGAGGCAUUUGUGUUCAUAUCUCUGCGUGGGACGUGCAUCCGAGAGCCAGCAUGGGGAAUCGUGAGAUGUUGGACAUUCUUCAGAAGGUGUGGAUCAAACUGCAGGAUCUCCCACAUGCCAGUCCUCUGGAGCUGGGAGCCUUCUUUGUGGUCAUCCUGUUUAUUGCCACGUUUCUCUUGUUGAUUGUGCUGUCCUGCUUCCACUGCUGCUGCUGUGGAAAGUCAAAAUACCAGGCCACCAGAGUACAGCCUGUCUAAGGAUGACACAGAGAACACACUCCAGCCUUUCUUCCAUCCUUCAUCACCCACACUCACCGUUACAUAACCGGAAACGCUCCUCUUCAGAGGCAUUGAUUUCUUGGAGGAUAUCAUAAAAAUAAAAUUCAUCAACUCAACGAUGGGGACUUAUUUGCAUAAUAUGUCCAAUUUUGGGACAAAGACUGGAUGUACAUUCCAGAGAGAGAGAGCCAUGCCACUGGAAUCCAUAUAAAGCAGAAGAGUGGCACGACUCAUCAAGAUUCAUUUCAGAACAGUACAAUGCAACACUGUGUGGCAGCCUUGUACUACUACUACUACUAACACAACAUCAACAACAACACUGGAGCAAGGGAUUAAAAAUGGAAGAGGAAGAAAGCUGAUUUGUAUUUGAAUGUCACAGUGACUCCGUUAUUAGAAAAAACUUUUUUUUUCCUCCUGUUGAUAUUCAUCAAGGAUAUGAAAAACAACAUGGAAUAUGUACAGACAUUUUAACUUGCAUUUGUAUAGAAACUUCCCAGUGUAUAAAGAUAGUGCGCCCUCUGCUGGCUCAGUAAAGAGUGACUUGUUUUUGUGCAAAUUGUGGCAAU